rnacentral:lncRNA from 1 species
UGGGAAUCGGGAUGGCAGGCGGAGCACUCCUCGUCCAUCUCAGAUGAGUAUACACGUUCCCACUGCACCUUGGUCCAAUCCUUACGACGCCCAUUACAGAACUACCCACCACCAACGGACCAAGCAGCGGGGUAAGGAGCUGGAGAGGAGCUAUCGGGAGUCGUGGACCUGGGAGGAGAUCCUAGCAGGAGAGGGACCAUGGAGGAAGGCUGGAGAGGACCGGGAGUGUUUUGCUGGAACAAGGUUGGCAUGGAAGCCUGAUAGGCAGCCCCAAAACAAUUUUUUUGGGGGGAGGGGCACACGGGUAGUUUGGCUGGGCCAGGGUUGAGCCCUAAGCCAACUCCCCGUGCUUAUCAGAGGCAGCGUGGUACUGGUCAGGCCCGGUGCUAUGGGCUGACGUGUAUGGCGUCGAGGCCAAGCAUCCAGAGGCCGGUAUGCUCGGUACCAGCGUCCUGCAUUUGCCGGGGGGAAGCGGGCACCCAGCCAGUAAGGGUGGUGCCAGUCCUGCACUCGAGACCGCCAGUGCGCCUUCACGGCCCAGUGUAUCCUGUUCCUGCUCCCCGCACUAGCCCUGAGGUGCGUGUCUCCAGUCUGGCGUCUCCAAAGCCAGCACCACGCACCAGGCCUUCAGUGCGUCAGCCCAGUCCAAGAUGUCCUGUUCCCGCUCCUCGCACUAGCCUUGGGGUGCGUGUCUCCAGUCUGUUACCUCCACUACCAGCCCCACGCACCAGGCCUUCAGUGCGUCAGCCCAGUCCAGCUCGUCCUGCUCCUGCUCCUCGCACUAGCCCUGUGGUGCGUGUCCCUAGUCUGGCACUUCCUAAGCCAGCUCCACGCAUCAGGUCUUCAGUGCGCAGUCCCCGUCCAGAGCUUCCGGCAACAGUGCCUCGUCCAGAGUGUCCGGCAACAGUGCCUCGUCCAGAGUGUCCGGCGACAGUGCCCCGUCCAGAGUGUCCGGCGACAGUGCCCCGUCCAGAGUGUCCGGCAACAGUGCCCCGUCCAGAGCUUCCGGCGACAGUGCCCCGUAGAGAGAUGGCCCACAGUCCGGAACCGAGAGAGACGGCCCACAGUCCGGAACCGAGAGAGACGGCCCACAGUCCGGAACCGAGAGAGAAGGCCCACAGUCCGGAACCGAUAGAGACGGUCCACAGUCCGGAACCGAGAGAGAUGGCCCACAGUCCGGAGCCGAGAGAGACGGCCCACAGUCCGGAGCCGAGAGAGACGGCCCACAGUCCGGAGCCGAGAGAGACGGCCCACAGUCCGGAGCCGAGAGAGACGGCCCACAGUCCGGAGCCGAGAGAGACGGCCCACAGUCCGGAGCCGAGAGAGACGGCCUACAGUCCGGAAUCGGAGCCGAGAGAGACGGCCCACAGUCCGGAGCCGAGAGAGACGGCCUACAGUCCGGAAUUGGCGCAGCGAGAGUCGCCCUACAGUCCGGAAUCGGCGCAGCAAGAGUCGCCCUACAGUCCGCAAUCGGCGCAGCGAGAGUUGCCCUACAGUCCGGAAUCGGCGCAGCCAGAGUCGCCCUACAGUCCGGAAUCGGCGCAGCCAGAGUCGCCCUACAGUCCGGAAUCGGCGCAGCCAGAGUCGCCCUA